AAUUAAUUAGUAUAUAAGUAUAUUUAAUUUCCAAUUAAAUGGUGAAAAAUUUAUUA
rnacentral:tRNA from 1 species